AACGCACCUUGCGCCCCUUGGUAUUCCGAGGGGCACACCCGUUUGAGUGUCGUGAAUAUCUCAACCUUCUCGGUUUCUUCUGGAUGCCGAAGGAGGCUUGGACUUUGGAGGCCUUUGCUGGCGUCUCGUCAGCUCCUCUCAAAUGAAUUAGCAGGGUCCUCUUUGCCGAUCCUUGACAUGUGAUAAGAUGUUUCCGUGUCUUGGCUUCUGGCUCUGUCGCUUUUGGGAUCCGCUUCUAACCGUCUCAACGAGACAACGUCCGAGCGUGUCUCCCUUCUCGGGAAACACUCUCGAACCCACGAACCCUUGACCUCAAAUCGGGUGAGACUACCCGCUGAACUUAA
rnacentral:misc_RNA from 1 species